rnacentral:rRNA from 1 species
UACGGAGGGGGCUAGCGUUGUUCGGAAUUACUGGGCGUAAAGCGCACGUAGGCGGCUUUGUAAGUUAGAGGUGAAAGCCCGGGGCUUAACCCCGGAAUAGCCUUUAAGACUGCAUCGCUUGAACACGGGAGAGGUGAGUGGAAUUCCGAGUGUAGAGGUGAAAUUCGUAGAUAUUCGGAAGAACACCAGUGGCGAAGGCGGCUCACUGGACCGUUGUUGACGCUGAGGUGCGAAAGCGUGGGGAGCAAACAGG